rnacentral:rRNA from 1 species
AUUGAACGCUGGCGGCAGGCCUAACACAUGCAAGUCGAGCGGAUGAAGGGAGCUUGCUCCUGGAUUCAGCGGCGGACGGGUGAGUAAUGCCUAGGAAUCUGCCUGGUAGUGGGGGAUAACGUCCGGAAACGGGCGCUAAUACCGCAUACGUCCUGAGGGAGAAAGUGGGGGAUCUUCGGACCUCACGCUAUCAGAUGAGCCUAGGUCGGAUUAGCUAGUUGGUGGGGUAAAGGCCUACCAAGGCGACGAUCCGUAACUGGUCUGAGAGGAUGAUCAGUCACAGUGGAACUGAGACACGGCCCAGACUCCUACGGGAGGCAGCGGGGGGGAAUUUGGGACAAUGGGAGAAAGCCUGAACCAGCAAUGCCGCGUGGGGGAAGAAGGUAUUCGGAUUGUAAAACUCUUUAAGUGGGGAGGAAGGGAAGUAAGUUAAUCCGUUCUUGUUUUGACGUUACCAAAAGAAAAAGCCCCGGCUAACUUCGUG